GCCUGGCUGGCUCAGUCAGUGGAGCGUGAGACUCUUUAUCUCGGGGUUGUGGGUUCAAGCCCCACGUUGGGUG
rnacentral:tRNA from 1 species